rnacentral:lncRNA from 1 species
GGGGACAUGGGGGAAAUUUCUCUUCAAAGGUUGAGUGGUGCCAAUCACAUUAAUUGUGAAGCCCAAUAAUGACCCUUUGGAGAGGUCAUACAUAAUCCUAAAUGACGUAAAAAAUGAGUGGAAUGUAUGCCAUGUGAAAAUGUGAGUUUGUGUGAAGUAAAAAAAGUGAUAAAAAUAAUAGGACAUAAGUGGAGGUGUGCAAAUGUAUUUACAAGGUAAGGUGAGUAAAGAAUGAUAAUGUGAAAAAUAACAUAAAGUGCAUGUGUGCGAGUGAUAUGGUAUAAAGUGUGAGUAGUUAAAUGAAAACGUCCAAAAGUAGUGUGAAGUGAGAAUGUGAAAAAAGUGAUAGAAUAUAAAGUAAGUGUAUGUGAUAGUGAAUGAAUAAAAUGCAUGAACCCUAGAGGAAUGCAAGCAAAACGGGUACGGGGACUCCUAACUUUGUGACUUUAAUCUUCCCUUUGAUUAGAAGGGGGAACUAGCGUGCUAAGGCUAUUGGGUAGCCACACUCGCUCGUUUCCCUUAUCGAAAGGGGACCCUCAAGCAAAUGUACCCUAUAACUAGCAUGAGAUGCAAAAAUCUAAGAUGAAGGGGAAGGGGUUAGAGGGGCAUGCCAAAUGCUAGAAAAACUAGGAAAAAUGCAUGAAAUGAAGUGAAACAUGCAAGUGUGUACUAACAAGAAGAGAUACCUAAGGGUCUAGCGUUGGACUAGCCCAUACCUAGGAAUUCUUACUAGCAUUGGACUAGUGGAAAACGGAACAAUGAGCCACAACUGGCGUUGGACUAGUGUGGUGACGGGAAAGGGGGCAACAACUAGCGUUGGACUAGUGUGGUGACGUACAUUCAUCCAUCAUGUUCAUGCAUGGCUAUGGAAAGUGAAUAGACAUGUCAAUCACCUAUAAACACAUAGCACAUAACACUUAGCAUGCUCGACUAGAUGCAAGAACCUAAUAAAGCCAAUUAACACAUAGCAACAAAGGCAAAUAACCAAGCUAAUGAACCUAUUACAUUUGCUAACUAAAACCAAAGGGGAAGGGGAAGAAUGGACAAGAAUGCUCGCCAAGCACUAUCUAUUACAAGCCAAGAGGUGUACACAUACCCCAUUAAAAGAAUAGCUUAAAUAAAAGCAAAAGUAAAUGAAAUAAAUGAAAGGAAUUAAGAGAAGGCAAGGAAAGCGAAGUAGACAUGCAAUUUUCACUUAGCACGUUGGAUCACGUAGGAGAGACAAAAAAGAUAAAAGAAGUUAUACCUCCCUCGCGGUGGUAAUCAAAUGAAGUAAAAAUGGCUUCAAAACAAUAAAAAGGUCAAGGUACCACUUUAUUUAAGAAAAAUUAAAAGAAAUGUGCAAAACAAAGCUCAUUUGAUCAUAAAGUCCCUAAAGUCAUGUCUUAAGCGCAAUUGAAGCAAAGCAUGGUAGUUAAUUGAAGCAAACAAGCAAUGAAGUUGCACAAAUUAAAAUUACCAAGGACCAAAUUGAUGAAAUUAUUUAAUUGAUUGGGUCAUAGUGAAAUGAAGGGAGACUUGGGGGGUCAAAAUGCUAAAUUCAGAAGUAUUUGCAUGCAUGCAUACGUAGGAAACAAAAUUUUCUGCAAUGAACAUCUUCUUGAAAUUAAAACAAUCGCUGGCUGCAUUUCCAUCUCAUACACAAAUUCUAAGCAGCUUUGACUAAUCCUUUCAUCUAUCCAAACUUUGGAUUAAGCAACAAAACAAACAAGUUCCACAUCUAACAAGCAAAACAUGGAAGGAAAUUGUACAAACACUUAUGAAACCUUUAUGCAAGAUGGAAGAAGAUUGCUGCAAUUUGGAAGCUUUGGCAAAGGGUGGAAUCUUUUGGCAACAAAACUAGUUGUGACUUUCAUUUCCAAAUGCAGAUUUCAGACCCAAAGGAUAGCUUUGUUCAAAAACAGAAAAUGUUAACCAAAAUCAUAGUGUGGAACUAAACCACAAGGACAGAAACUUUGACAGCAAAUAAGCAAAAACAUAACAAAAACUGAUGCAAAUUUCUUGGAAACUUUCAUGCAAAAUGAUCCAGCUACCUAUUGUCUAUGUGGCCAGCAAGCAUUCAAUUCCAACUCAAGUAUGUUUAGACCCAAACACCCAAAACCAAUCUAAGCAUCAUAACAACCAUUUCAACAUUCAAACAAACCAAAACAUAGAAGAAAAAUCAUGCAAAGGCUGGAAAAUUCUAGGCAAAAGGUUCGGCAAUCCUGACUUGUUCAUUUUCAGCAAACAUUCGACCAUAGCUCAAGUGUUUUUGGACCCAACCAUGCAAAACUCAACACUAAACUUUCCAUUUUCUUCCCUUCUACAUAAGAUUAAGUAUGCAACUUAAGUGCGAAAACUACAAACCAGUCACGAAGAAGAAAACAUCACAGAGAAAUGUAGCAGCUUUUUCUACUUGGGCCUAGAUAUGUUUGGGCAUGAGAACUCAACCAAACUUCACUAAUUUAACAACCCAAUGUCAUUAUCCUUACCAAAACGCCAUCAUCUACCCUUCCUCAUAACUGGUUUCAUUUCUGCAAUUUCGCAAUGCUUUGAAAAACUUUUUCUGGUUCCCUAAAACAUAUCAUUCAACCAGCCAACCAUUUGCAAAUUUGUCACCGUGAGAAAAACCAAAGCAAACAAGUCAAGAUUCAAUUAAGGCUCAUAGCAAAAUCAUCCAAAAUAUCAAUAACAACCCAUGACCUCAAUUUGAAGACAACAGCCUCUAAGGAGCCUGAAUCUAAUCGUACUUCAUAUCUGGUCUUCCUAUUUGCAACAAAGUGCAGAUUGAACUUAGCAAAUCAUGGCCAUAAUCAUUUAAUAACAGAAACAAUACAGCCGGGUCAAAGCUUGCAUUUUUAUUGCUGGUUUUUAUCUAGGACCGAAAAUAGAAACAUAGACUAUGGGAACAAAACAAGUAGCGGAACUCCUGGUUGCGAAAAAAAGGAUAAAAGAAGAGGCUACCUUGAGAAAUGAUUGAGCUUCUCAGUAGACCGACGAAACCUGUUGCAACCUCUUUGCAGGAGACCGCCAGUGAAAGCCCAGAGAUCCGGCAACCCUGGUUCUUUUCGCUCCUCUUUGCAGUUUUCCUUUUCUACGCUGCAAGGCUUUGUUGCUCUCACUGUUUUCCCCUCCAAAACUCUUGCCUCUUUCUGUUUAGCCGUCUAAAAUCUCUGGUUCUUAGCUCACUCUCUCUGGUCUUUCUUUUCUUUUUCCCUUUUAGCUCUGCCGCCGUUACUCCAGCUCUCUCAUCUCUCAACCAGCCGUCAAGUCCUCCCUUCGUUUCUUUCUUUUUGCCGUCCCCUUCUCUACCCUUUCUUAUGCAGCCGCCAACCCUCCUUCUCUCUCUAUCCUCGAUUUGCAGCCGUCACCCCUCUCUGUUUUCUAUCUCCCAAAGUGGUUCUCCCCUCCUCUUGCUCUCGGCUCUUUUUCCUUUGCUGUUGAUUUUCUUAGCCACCAACCUUCAAUCCCUCCUCUCUCCUUUCGGCUGCCCUUCUCUUUCUUUUUAUAUGGGGGAACCUCAACCCUAAACCCUCAACCAUUUCUUCUAUAUUUGCAGCCAAAGGGCUCACCGAGCCCUCCUUUGCAAGCUGCGAAAAAACGCAGCUUGCAUGUCGCGUAUCUUCUCUUUUUUUUUUUGAAAUUAAUUAAAACAAAAUUGAUAAUAAAAAUAAAUAACAAAAAUAAUUUAAUUAACAUUGGAUAAAAAUAAAUGAACUAGAAAUAAUAAAUAGCAAAAUCCAUUUUCCUUUUUUAUUUUCCAUCAUCAUUUUUCCUCUUUCUCUUUUUUCUCAAGAAAACAUUGAAAUUAAAUCACAAACAACCAAAUCAUAUUUUUGAAUGCUUUUCUUUCUUCUUUUUUUCUUUUCGAGAAAUUUUAUGCUAGAAAGUUUAAAAUAAAAAUAAUAAAAUAAAACUAAAAACUAAAAAGUGAAUAAAACUUAACACGACAAAUAAAAACUAAGAAUUAAAUAGUAAAUGAAAUCACACUAAAAAUUUGGUGUCUACAGUUUGCCCCUCUUUGUCUGAGUUUUGAAAAAACUUGAGACAAAGAAGUAGACACCAAAUGAUUACCUGUGUUAUUUUGCUGCAAAAUGAUUCCAACGAACAGGAAUUCUCAAACGGGACUGACCCGAACAUGAAUUUAAAACGGGACUAACCCGAACAAGUUUUAAUAAUCAUGGGACUGACCCGAAUCAAACGAAAAUCAUGGGACUGACCCGAAUAAAACGAAAAUCAUGGGACUGGCCCGAAUAAAACGAAAAUCAUGGGACUGACCUGAAUGAAAUGAAAAUCAUGGGACUGGCCCGAAUAAAACGAAAAUCAUGGGACUGACCCGAAUGAAAUGAAAAUCAUAGAACUGACCCGAAUAAAAUGAAAAUCACGGGACUGACCCGAAUGAAAUGAAAAUCAUGGGACUGGCCCGAAUGAAAUGAAAAUCAUGGGACUGUCCCGAAUAAGCCUUUAAUCAUGGGACAGACCCGAAUAAGCUUUUAAUCAUGGGACUGACCCGAAUAAGCUUUUAAAAUCAUGGGACUGACCCGAAUAAGCUUUAAAAUCAUGGGACUGGCCCGAAUAAAAUGAAAAUCAUGGGACUGACCCGAAUGAAAUGAAAAUCAUGGGACUGACCCGAAUAGGAAUUUAAAUGGGAUAGACCCACGGGAUAGACUCGGACAGAAAUUUAAAUGGGAUAGACCCAGACAGAAAUGUAAAUGGGAUAGACCCACGAGAUAGACUCGGAUAGAAAUGUAAAUGGGAUAGACCCACGGGAUAGACCCGAACAAAAUUUAAAAUCAUGGUGCACACUAGUGGGAUUGACCCACGGCUAGUGGCGAUGACAAAGAAAUGCACACUAGUGGGACUGACCCACGACUAAUGGCGAUAAAAGUGAAACGCUCACUAGUGGGACUGACCCACGGUUAGUGGCGAUAAAAGUGAAACGCUCACUAGUGGGACUGACCCACGGCUAGUGGCGGUGGAAACAAAAUGCUCACUAGUGGGACUAACCCAUGUUUAGUGGCAAUGAAAUAUGAAAUGCACGUUAGUGGGACUGAUCCAUGUUUAACGGCAAUGAAAAUGAAACGCGCGCUAGUGGGACUGACCCAUGUUUAGCGGCGAAGAAAACAAAAUGCACACUAGUGGGACUAACCCAUGUUUAGUGGCAAUGAAACAUGAAAUGCACGUUAGUGGGACUGACCCAUGUUUAACGGCAAUGAAAACUAAAUGCACACUAGUGGGACUAACCCAACGGCUAGUGGCGGUACAAAAUGAAAUGCUCACUGGCGGGACUCACCUCACGCUCCAGUGGCUGUGAAAAUGAAAUGCUCACUGGCGGGACUAACCUCACGCUCCAGUAGCGAUGUAAAUGAAAAUGCUUACUGGCGGGACUGACCCACGUUCCAGUAGCGAUGUAAAUGAAAUGCUCACUGGCGGGACUAACCUCACGCUCCAGUGGCUGUGAAAAUGAAAUGCUCACUGGCGGGACUAACCUCACGCUCUAGUGGCAAUGUAAAUGAGAAUGCUUACUGGCGAGACUGACCCACGUUCCAGUAGCUGUGAAAAUGAAAUGCUUACUGGCGGGACUGACCCACGUUCCAGACUGGCGGGACUGACCCACGCUCCAGUGGCUGUGAAAAUGAAAUGCUCACUGGCGGGACUAACCUCACGCUCCAGUGGCUGCUCCAGUGGCGAUGUAAAUGAAAAUGCUUACUGGCGGGACUGACCCACGUUCCAGUAGCGAUGUAAAUGAAAUGCUCACUGGCGGGACUAACCUCACGCUCCAGUGGCUGUGAAAAUGAAAUGCUCACUGGCGGGACUAACCUAACGCUCCAGUAGCGAUGAAAAUGUCUUGACAAUCGGACAGUGGGAUCAAACCCGAGCCUGCCGUGAUGAACUUGAUUUGAUUUUUUGAUUUUUUGAUUUUUUUGAUUUUUUAUUUUUCCUGACUGAGAGAGACUUGUCAAAAUAAUUUACCCUAGUGUAGGGCCCUUUUCCCUUCUUUCUUCUCUUUCUUCGGCAUCGGCCUUCCACAACUCAGAAGCUAUUUCGUCGAUUUUAACUAUGAAUACCUGCACAGGGGGCUUACAUGCACUCAAAUUUUCAUGAAAAGGGCAGCGUGAUUGAUUUGAAAGUCUUGCCUGACUCUUUGACGAAAUCCUCAAACGAGCUAUAAAAAAUUUGCCCCAGUGUGGGCUUAUUUUGUGAAAUCUUGCAAAUAAGAAUUUUGCCCCAGUGUGGGCCCAUUUGAUUGCAAAAAUUGGUUUGGAUGCAUCUUCAUUUAUUUGAACAAAGUAAGAAACUGUGCUUCCUAUAUAAUGUGAAGAAAUCUGAACGUCUUGGUCAAAAUCACACAGAAAAUUUCAUGAUGAGUUUCUCAAAAUAAUGCCAAAUUACAAAAGAUUUCUUCCUCACUUUAGCAUCGAUGCUUUGGGUAAUGGGUGUUAUGUCUGAUUUGGAAAUGGGAGGUCAAGAUUUGUCUUAUUCUUGUGCCCAAAUUGUACGAAAUCCCUUCAAUAUCACAUUUUAGUGAAAGCAAAUAGUUUGUCACCCUUAUUUCUUAAGAAAAUUGAGUCAACAUAUAAGCUUUAAGCUUGCAACAAAUUGGUAGAAAGAUAGCUAAACCUGUGAAAACUGGUUAUACCCCCAUGAUCACAAAUGAUUGGUGGAUUUCUUAUGAGCAUAAUCCUCACUUUGGAUUGUCAUGAAGGAAUAAGUCAACGAUGAACUUUAUUGGCUUGUAAUGUGGCUUGAAACGAUAGUUAAAGGAUAAGUCUUUCAAGAACAUUGCACCGAAGAUCGCAUUUUCCCCAAAAUUGUCCCUAUUCUGAACUCAAAGAUCUCAGAAUUUGUUUGCAUUUUCUCAACAUUCACCAGAGAUUUUCAGCAUCAAAUCUUUUGCAUUUUUCCUUUGCACUCGCUCUCUUUUUCCUUUCCUUUUUCCUUUUUUUUUCCCAAAAAAUGCCCUCGCGGGGUUUCACAUGAAGAGCAGUGUCAACCUCACACCUAAUCAAUUCAGAAAUACAGCUAAAAUUUCGGCAUCAGAGAUUUCCUUGACAAGGCCAGUGCAAAGAACAGAAGUCAGGACUUUUGGCUUUGUAAUGGGGUCAGGUGGGGUGCUUAGAAAAGUUAAGGCUUGAAACGGAUUUCAAAAGUGGUUUAAAGAAUCUGAGAUCGCAUUGUUGCGCCAACCCUAUUUUAGGGUUAAAUCAGGAUUUGCCCCAGUUUAUGCUCAACUGAGGCUUUUUCUUUCAUUUUUCUUUCUUCUUUUGAUUUUUCCGGCUUUUUGCCAUUCUUUGAAACUUCACAAAAUUUGUCCCAGUUUAUUUUUGAACUGAGGUUCUCUUUUCUUCUUUCGCUUUUGAUUUUGUUGCUUUUCACUUUUCCGCUUCUUGAAAUUUUCCUUUUCAACUCAAACUUGCCCCAGUGUGGGGUUUGCGAUUCUCAGGGGUUUUGCCAAACGAAAUAAUUCAUUCUGAAGGCUCAAAAGGGAUAACUAGGGAUAGAAUGUCUGAUUGGAAAAGAAAAGGGCCUGACUUUUAUCCUGUUCCUUACAAUAACUUUGAAAGGAAACUUUCAUUAAUGCGAAAUUUUUGGCAUGUAUCUGAAUUAAUUGACUGAGAAAGACUCUUGCUCAUUCAUAUCUAUGAAACAUAGGCGGUCCGUGCGGACAAAUCUCUUUCUUUUUCUUUUCUUUCAAAAUUGAAACCCAAGUGGAAUCACAUCUCCCCAAUUUGCGGUUCCCUUUCCCCUUCUCUUUUUUUCUUUUUCAAAAUUUUCCAAUCUCCUUCCCCAAUGUGGGGUGCGAUCAUAUGUGCACUCGAAAAGAACCACCAAUUUUAGCUCAGAUGAGGUUGCAAGGGAUGAUCAGUGUUUAGGUUGUAGAAACGACGGCCAAAGCAUCAUUCUUACACCUCAUGACAACCAAAGUAACGAAAUGGUUAUUGCAAAUCCCUUCCCCUUUUUUGAUUAUUUGAAAAUUUUUCAAUAUAGGGUAGCGAUCAUUAGGGCUCUUGUUUGAAACGAAAUUAUUCUUUCAAAGGCUAAAAUGGGAGAGGAAAUGAUAAAAUAUGUAUAGGUGGGGAAGAAUGCUUGAAGUAUCAUUCCAAAUUUUCAAAACAAACAAAAAUAAUGCACAUUUUGCUUUCACUUAGAUGUGAUUGAAUCGGAUUAGACACCGCGAACAUUUUCAAGCAAAAGUUGCCCCAAUUUGCAAUUUAUCAAUCAAUGUGACUGAUUUAUUGGGGGGCCAAUAGAAGUAGGCAAAAUAUGAAUUGUACAGUGAAGGUGAAAACAGGUAUCGUAUUGGGUCCUUUGAGUGACCUCUUUUAAUUUUGAGCACUCUUAUUGUAUACCUCGGAUCACCAAUAUAGUGUAUACAUUUGUGAGUUUUCAGGCUGGAGGUUGAAAAAACUCUGAAUUCGGUCUUAUUUCUUAAAAUUCAUCAUGAAAUCUCUUAAUGAGCUCAAUAAAGAAUGAAAUGUACACGAGUAUUAUACAAAACAAAUAAUUGUUUGAACAAAAGUUUCGUUAUUGCCAAUGUUUGAAAAAUUUUAAAAGCAAUACAUAUGAGAAACAUUCUAAAGAACUCCUUUACACAUGUAUACACACUUUUCCCUCUUAAUAGCCCCCUUUCCCUUUGAGUAAUGAAAUCUCUUAAAUGUUUUACACGAGCGCCUUCAGAUGAAUUUUCAAAUUCACAUUUGUAGGGCCUGCCCAAGAAUCAAGUAAUUUUCAAACUUUUACCAGAUCAAAAUUGUUAUAGAAUGAUAUUUUCACCUUAUUGAAAUAUUCUUAUGAGUGCAAGGGGGAAGGGGGAAAAAUAAAAGAAAAAUACCCAGAGUUAGUAAUCAAGACUAUAAAAUCGGUAUGCAUGCCCUAUGGGGGAACCCUUUUUGUGCCAGGGGUAGGCCUAGCAUGAAAAUGCAAUCCUCUAGGGUAGGCACUAUACCAUACCUGAUGGAUCUGAUCAACUCAUUGAGUGAAAAAUAAUUUUUUUAAAAAAAAUUGGUCAAUUGGAGUGACGAGAGACACUUGUCAAAGUGAGAUCAACGUCCGAAUGGAUUGAUCACUUUUGAUCAAUACAAGAAUUUGCAACAACGCACGGGUUUGACCUUGACGAACUUCCUAUCGAAGAUAUUGGAAUUCGUUGACCAAAUUUUCUCAGUGAAACACGGGUCAAAACCCCAACUGAUCAAAUGGCUGAAUGCAAUGGAUGGCUUUCUAAAAAAUCGACUAGGUUUCCCAAUUUGAAAUUCGACCUUAAAACCCUAAUUGGUCAAAUGGGUUGAAUGAAUUUGACCGUUUAUUUAAAAUCGACUGGAUAACCCUAAAAAGGAAACGGGUCAAAUGAAUUGAGUGAUAUUUAAAAACUUACUCAAAAUUGAUCGAAUCAUCCUAAAAAAGGAACUUGAUCGAACGAAAUUGAGAACUUUAUUCAAAAAUGGACCGGUUCAUUCUAAAAAAUGAAAUUGGUCAAAUGAAUUGAAUGAAAUCGAGAAUUUAUUCAAAAUUGACCAGAUCGCCCUAAAAGGGUAAACUGGUCAAAUGAAUCGGACGAAAUUGAUGAUUUAUUUCAAAAUUGCUCGAAUUGCCUUAAAGUGAAAGAAUUGGCAAAAUAGAUCGAUUGAAUUGUCCGGCCAUUUCAAAAUUAUUGAGAUGUAUUAGUCUAUGACCUUCUAAAAUCAAAUUUUGGCCUCAAUUCACUUAUUGUCUCAGUAGUAAGGAAUUAUUUGUGAAUUUCUUCAAAUUAAUGUCCUUUACGCAAGGGAUUUUUACCAAUUUUUGAUAAAAUGGCCAAAAAGUGAUUAUUAGACGCUCAUAUUCCAAAGAUCGCUCCAUGAAAAUGAUCGGAUCCCACUUUACCUUGUGUACUACCCCUUUGGAUGGUAUAGGAAAUAUAAACGUGCAAGUCUCAUUGGAUUAUAUAUCCGAGACACAGGGCGGUUUAUUCUUAGCGCAGGAUCACCUAAAUGGCAUUCCCUUUCUAGUGUUUAUGCAUGAUGCCAGAUUAUUAAAACGAUAAAACAUGCAGUCUGACAUGAACUAUGGCCUAAGGAACCCUUUAUUUGCCAGGGUAGGCCUAAAAUGGCAUGGCAUAUUAAUUUACGAAUGCAAUAUACCAAAAUCUUUAAACGUGCAAUGGCCUAUCUACAAGGGCAGGUUUUAAAAGAAGGUCAUGCCAUACCUCCUAUUUGCUAGGGUUUGUGAAUGCAAUGGGGACACAAAACCAAGAAAAGUUAAUUCAGCUAGAUAAAUACACAUAACACAUUGUAGCAACGAGAUCAAUACAAAGAAAUAAAGCAAUAAAAAGGAAAAAAGGGGGUUGGAUCCCUCCCCUCGUGAAUAGUGUCCCUAACUCAGGAUAAGGCCGACUCUAUCCUUGGCAAGCUAUCAUGGACGCAUGAGGUAUUGGUUCACUAAUGCAACUAGACUCGAUAGGUUUUAGGUCCCCGAGCCUUCAGACUUGGAAACCAAGGGUUAUCAAUCCCAAGGUCCUUUGUCGGUGGCUCGAGCGAUUUCCCAGACAUUGCUACGCACACAUCGUGUCACGGCUACAUGUCAUGAGUGAAUCUAUCAAAACUCCUCAAUCUUCAAUCAAAAGCUAAAGGCUAUGAACCCAAAGCUUAAAAUGGAAGAUCGAGUGACUCCUCGGAUCAUGCUACGCACACAUCGUGUCGCGAUCACAAGUCCAAGUGAGUCGCCUAAAAUCCUAAUAGGGUGGAGUGGCGUAACAAGCCACUAAAAAAAAAAUAAAUGGAGGGUGAAAAAUUUAAAACGUAUGCACGUAUGCUAGUGCUCGUUUGGAGGGGAGGGAUCAAGAACCAACGCGAGGCUCUAGGGUAUGUCCCCCACCCAAAUGCAAUGCAAAGCGCGACAUAAAACAAGUAAAAUAUACAUCCAAUCAACCAAUCGUACAUACGUCAGUAAGGGAGUAGUUUGAUACGCGUACGAGGCAAAAAGUCCUAAAAAAGGAAAAAUGCAACCCUAAUACCCAAAUGACAUGCAUAAAAAGGGUAGAAAAGGGAAAAGAAUAGCCAAAUCAAAUGCUUGGACCCACUUAGUAAGUUCCCAGUGGAGUCGCCAACUGUCGCGCCCCACUUUUUGAUGAAGUUGUGUGGUGUGUGAGUGUGUGUGAGAGUGAGUAGUGUGUAUGAUAUACAUGUGAACGUGUGCGAAAUGAAAAGUAAAAGGCCAUGGGACUUAAGAAUGCGACGAUUUGGCCAAACAAAGUUCAAAAAAGGGUUUUUUAAUGAAAAUGGAGUCGCCACUUGGUAUAGAGUUAGGGUGUACCAAAUCACCCAAAAAUGAUUUUUUGUUUUUGAAUGAAAAAAGUAAAUAAACCCUUUUAGAGAACUUUUGGGUCUACGUAACCAAAAAGAGGGAUCGGGGGUCACAUUUGAUGAGGGAGAAGGCAAAGGCAAGGCCUAAGGCACUCCCUCACCCUAGCCAACGCUAGUUGCGUGACUUAACCCAACUUUUCCUAAUUUUUCUACCCAAUGUAUGUAUCGCGUGUUGGAUAUGUCUAUAUGAAUGCAAAAAUCUAGACCUAGGGGGACAUGGGGGAAAUUUCUCUUCAAAGGUUGAGUGGUGCCAAUCACAUUAAUUGUGAAGCCCAAUAAUGACCCUUUGGAGAGGUCAUACAUAAUCCUAAAUGACGUAAAAAAUGAGUGGAAUGUAUGCCAUGUGAAAAUGUGAGUUUGUGUGAAGUAAAAAAAGUGAUAAAAAUAAUAGGACAUAAGUGGAGGUGUGCAAAUGUAUUUACAAGGUAAGGUGAGUAAAGAAUGAUAAUGUGAAAAAUAACAUAAAGUGCAUGUGUGCGAGUGAUAUGGUAUAAAGUGUGAGUAGUUAAAUGAAAACGUCCAAAAGUAGUGUGAAGUGAGAAUGUGAAAAAAGGGAUAGAAUAUAAAGUAAGUGUAUGUGAUAGUGAAUGAAUAAAAUGCAUGAACCCUAGAGGAAUGCAAGCAAAACGGGUACGGGGACUCCUAACUUUGUGACUUUAAUCUUCCCUUUGAUUAGAAGGGGGAACUAGCGUGCUAAGGCUAUUGGGUAGCCACACUCGCUCGUUUCCCUUAUCGAAAGGGGACCAUCAAGCAAAUUUACCCUAUAACUAACAUGAGAUGCAAAAACCUAAGAUGAAGGGGAAGGGGUUAGAGGGGCAUGCCAAAUGCUAGAAAAACUAGGAAAAAUGCAUGAAAUGAAGUGAAACAUGCAAGUGUGUACUAACAAGAAGAGAUACCUAAGGGUCUAGCGUUGGACUAGCCCAUACCUAGGAAUUCCUACUAGCAUUGGACUAGUGGAAAACGGAACAAUGAGCCACAACUGGCGUUGGACUAGUGUGGUGACGGGAAAGGGGGUCACAACUAGCGUUGGACUAGUGUGGUGACGUACAUUCAUCCAUCAUGUUCAUGCAUGGCUAUGGAAAGCGAAUAGACAUGUCAAUCACCUAUAAACACAUAGCACAUAACACUUAGCAUACUCGACUAGAUGCAAGAACCUAAUAAAGCCAAUUAACACAUAGCAACAAAGGCAAAUAACCAAGCUAAUGAACCUAUUACAUUUGCUAACUAAAACAAAAGGGGAAGGGGAAGAAUGGACAAGAAUGCUCACCAAGCACUAUCUAUUACAAGCCAAGAGGUGUACACAUACCCCAUUAAAAGAAUAAUUUAAAUAAAAGCAAAAGUAAAUGAAAUAAAUGAAAGGAAUUAAGAGAAGGCAAGGAAAGCGAAGUAGACAUGCAAUUUUCACU